rnacentral:rRNA from 1 species
UACGUAGGGGGCAAGCGUUGUCCGGAUUCAUUGGGCGUAAAGUGUGCGCAGGCGGCCGAGCAAGUCGAGUGUGAAAGCCCCGAGCUUAACUUGGGAACUGCGCUCGAAACUACUUGGCUAGAGUGUGGCAGAGGGAGGUGGAAUUCCACGUGUAGCGGUGAGAUGCGUAGAGAUGUGGAGGAACACCGAUGGCGAAGGCAGCCUCCUGGGCCAACACUGACGCUCAUGCACGAAAGCGUGGGGAGCAAACAGG